rnacentral:rRNA from 1 species
UACAGAGGUCUCAAGCGUUGUUCGGAUUCAUUGGGCGUAAAGGGUGCGUAGGUGGCGCGUUAAGUCAGGUGUGAAAUUUCGGAGCUUAACUCCGAAACUGCAUUUGAUACUGGCGUGCUUGAGGACUGGAGAGGAGACUGGAAUUCAUGGUGUAGCAGUGAAAUGCGUAGAGAUCAUGAGGAAGACCAGUGGCGAAAGGCGGGUCUCUGGACAGUUCCUGACACUGAGGCACGAAGGCCAGGGGAGCAAACGGG